rnacentral:rRNA from 1 species
AUGGCUCAGGACGAACGCUGGCGGCGUGCCUAAUACAUGCAAGUCGAGCGGACCGAACGGAAGCUUGCUUCUGUUCGGUUAGCGGCGGACGGGUGAGUAACACGUGGGUAACCUGCCCGUAAGACCGGGAUAACUCCGGGAAACCGGGGCUAAUACCGGAUAACACCGAAGACCGCAUGGUCUUUGGUUGAAAGGUGGCUUUUGCUACCACUUACGGAUGGGCCCGCGGCGCAUUAGCUAGUUGGUGAGGUAACGGCUCACCAAGGCGACGAUGCGUAGCCGGCCUGAGAGGGUGACCGGCCACACUGGGACUGAGACACGGCCCAGACUCCUACGGGAGGCAGCAGUAGGGAAUCUUCCGCAAUGGACGAAAGUCUGACGGAGCGACGCCGCGUGAGCGAAGAAGGUCUUCGGAUCGUAAAGCUCUGUUGUUAGGGAAGAAGAAGUACCGUUCGAAUAGGGCGGUA